rnacentral:rRNA from 2 species
UCCGUAAGGUGAACCUGCGGAGGAUCAUUACUGAG